GUCCCAUUCCAGGUCUUGCCCAAGUCUUUCUGAUUGGUGGAACUUAAAUCACACCCAAAAUUCCAGCUGCAGGAGAGCUCUGAGAUUUCAUCUUUCCAACCUCUGUGUGCUACGUGGGGGUUGGAGCACUUGCUGACAAGCCUUGCAACCACCAUUGACAGGAUGUCCUCCACCUUUUCAAUCUGAUUUGCUCUUUGCCAUGCAGACCUGUGGAUGAAGAGCCAGAGUCCUCCAAGGUGAAGCUGGACUGAAUAUUUCUGUCCGUAAGACUAUUAGAAUCCCCCACAGUGGGAUACCAGUGAGGACCUCACCAGCAGCUGCUGUCUCUCCAAUGCAGGUAGAUGAGCCUCAGAAAUAACCGCUGCUUGUGGUUUGCUGUGUAUUCCUCUAGAUGUUUUUCUUUACACAUAUUAGUGAGUGUGGAGAGAGAGUGUGUAUGUGUUCUGUAAAUUUGAUUACACUGCGCAUUUAUUCCGAAAUCCGUUUCACUUUACCGUUGGAACGUAAGCUCUGUGAGGGCAGAGACUUUUGUUUAUUGCACUUGCUGUUAGAGCUCUUGUCUGUAACAGUGGCUGGCACAUGGUCACAUCAUAGUAGAAGCUCAAUAAAUAUUUGUUGAAUGAAUGAAAAAAUACGUCCAAGACAUCUUCAGAUUUCAAUAUUUGGAGAAAUGAUUCAUUUUUUUAAGAAGGUUACGUAAUAUAUGGUGAUUUAUUUAGCCACUAUUCUACUGAUAGACAUUUAGGUUGUUUUGGGUUUAACUUAUUACAGAAACAAUACAGGGAAGAUCCUUGUACAAAUUUUUGACGGUUAAAGGGGCUAUUUCUGUAUAAGGGUAUAUAUCAGGAUUCAUUUGCAAAUAUCAGAGAUCACUGUAAUUAAGCAGAAAGGAAUUUAAUCCAGGGCAUUUGGUACUAGAAGGGCUGGAGAAGGCAGUAGGCUCCACUGAGCUUCCAGGAAGG